rnacentral:rRNA from 1 species
GACGAACGCUGGCGGCGCGCCUAACACAUGCAAGUCGAACGAGAGAUGAAGAGCUUGCUCUUCAAAUCGAGUGGCGAACGGGUGAGUAACGCGUGAGGAACCUGCCUCAAAGAGGGGGACAACAGUUGGAAACGACUGCUAAUACCGCAUAAGCCCACGGCUCGGCAUCGAGCAGAGGGAAAAGGAGCAAUCCGCUUUGAGAUGGCCUCGCGUCCGAUUAGCUAGUUGGUGAGGUAACGGCCCACCAAGGCAACGAUCGGUAGCCGGACUGAGAGGUUGAACGGCCACAUUGGGACUGAGACACGGCCCAGACUCCUACGGGAGGCAGCAGUGGGGAAUAUUGCACAAUGGGGGAAACCCUGAUGCAGCGACGCCGCGUGAAGGAAGAAGGCUUUCGGGUUGUAAACUUCUUUUAAGUGGGAAGAGUAGAAGACGGUACACUUGAAUAAGCCACGGCUAACUACGUAG